rnacentral:rRNA from 1 species
GACGAACGCUGGCGGCGUGCUUAACACAUGCAAGUCGAACGAAAAGGCCCUGCUUUUGUUCCGUCCUCGUGUGGCGCACGGGUGAGUGACACGUGAGUAACCUGCCCUUGACUUUGGGAUAACUUCACGAAACUCGGGCUAAUACCGGAUAUGAGCUCCUGCUGCAUGGUGGUGGUUGGAAAGUUUCGGCUGUUGGGGAUGGACUCGCGGCUUAUCAGCUUGUUGGUGGGGUAGUGGCUUACCAAGGCUUUGACGGGUAGCCGGCCUGAGAGGGUGACCGGCGACAUUGGGACUGAGAUACGGCGCAGAAUGCUACGGGAGGCAGCAGUGGGGAAUCUUGCAGAAUGGCCGGAAGCGUGAUGCAGCAACGCUGCGUGCGGGAUGACGGGUUUCGGGUUGUAAACCGAUUUGGAAUGUGACGAAGAGUGAGUGACGGUAAUGGGUCAAGAAGCAACGGCUAACUACGUG